rnacentral:rRNA from 1 species
UACGGAGGGUGCAAGCGUUAUCCGGAUUCACUGGGUUUAAAGGGUGCGUAGGUGGGUCUGUAAGUCCGUGGUGAAAUCUCUAGGCUUAACCUGGAAACUGCCAUGGAUACUAUAGGUCUUGAAUACUGUGGAGGUCAGCGGAAUAUGUCAUGUAGCGGUGAAAUGCUUAGAUAUGACAUAGAACACCAAUUGCGAAGGCAGCUGGCUACACAAAUAUUGACACUGAGGCACGAAAGCGUGGGGGAUCAAACAGG